rnacentral:rRNA from 1 species
GAACGCUGGUCCCAGGCUUAAACAUGCAAGUCGAGCGGGCGUAGCAAUACGUCAGCGGCAGACGGGUGCGUAACGCGUGGGAACGUACCUUUUGGUUCGGAACAACACAGGGAAACUUGGGCUAAUACCGGAUAAGCCCUUACGGGGAAAGAUUUAUCGCCGAAGGAUCGGCCCGCGUCUGAUUAGCUAGUUGGUGAGGUAAUGGCUCACCAAGGCGACGAUCCGUAGCUGGUCUGAGAGGACGAUCAGCCACACUGGGACUGAGACACGGCCCAGACUCCUACGGGAGGCAGCAGUGGG